CUGCAGGAGCGAACCAGGAAGCGGAUGCACCUGACCUGCGGAAGCUGUACAUGGCCCGUGUAAAAGGAGCGAGGGCCCGGUAACCCAUGCCACGUUCCAAGCACCAAGGCAUGCCGGCGGCGGCGGCGGCGGCACGGAUACAUCGGCGCCUGAGAUCCUCGCCGGCAUGGACUACAACUACAGGCUGGAUGCUCGUCGCCACCGCCCGAUCAACAACGGCGCUCCGCUGGUUGAGCUCGCCGCCGGGACACCCUAGGACCCCCCUGAGGCUGACUAGAUAGUAGUACGUCUGAGUCUGACCACGCAGUAGCCAUCAGCAGAUGGUGGCUAGCAUAGCUGCAUAGGUAGCUAGGAACACCCUCUCCACGCUACACGGAGCCCGUGCCUGGCACUCAUGGAACAAUCUGAGAUCAGUGUACUGGGCGAUUUUGGUUGUACAAUGUGCUAGCAUAGUAGCAUGGUGAGAAUACAGGAGCUGCUGUUGCACACUUUUGCGGGCCUAAA